UACGUAGGGACCGAGCGUUGUCCGGAUUCAUUGGGCGUAAAGAGCUCGUAGGCGGCUGUUCAAGUCGAACGUGAAAACUCGGAGCUCAACUCCGAGCCUGCGUUCGAUACUGGACGGCUAGAGUCUGGUAGGGGGAUCUGGAAUUCCUGGUGUAGCGGUGGAAUGCGUAGAUAUCGGGAGGAACACCUGUGGCGAAAGCGGCUCACUGGACCACAACUGACGCUGAGGCGCGAAAGCUAGGGGAGCAAACAGG
rnacentral:rRNA from 1 species